rnacentral:rRNA from 1 species
GAUGAACGCUGGCGGCGUGCCUAACACAUGCAAGUCGAGCGGAUGAAGGUAGCUUGCUACCUGAUUCAGCGGCGGACGGGUGAGUAAUGCCUAGGAAUCUGCCUGGUAGUGGGGGGCAACGUUUCGAAAGGAACGCUAAUACCGCAUACGUCCUACGGGAGAAAGUGGGGGAUCUUCGGACCUCACGCUAUCAGAUGAGCCUAGGUACGAUUAGCUAGUUGGUGAGGUAAAGGCUCACCAAGGCGACGAUCGUUAACUGGUCUGAGAGGAUGAUCAGUCACACUGGAACUGAGACACGGUCCAGACUCCUACGGGAGGCAGCAGUGGGGAAUAUUGGACAAUGGGCGAAAGCCUGAUCCAGCCAUGCCGCGUGUGUGAAGAAGGUCUUCGGAUUGUAAAGCACUUUAAGUUGGGAGGAAGGGCAGUAAGUUAAUACCUUGCUGUUUUGACGUUACCGACAGAAUAAGCACCGGCUAACUUCGUGCCAGCCGCCGCCGUAA